rnacentral:rRNA from 1 species
AGCCCCCCUCGAGAUGAGAUUUCCCAUUGCUUCGGCAAGUAAGACCCCUGAGAGAUGAUCAGGUAGAUAGGUUGGAAGUGGAAGUACAGCGAUGUAUGGAGCGGACCAAUACUAAUCGGUCGAGGACUUAACCAA